GCUUGAGUGCCGGAGAGGGUGGCGGAAUUCCCCAAGUAGAGGUGAAAUUCGUAGAUAUCGGGAGGAACACCGGUGGCGAAGGCGGCCACCUGGACGGUAACUGACGCUGAGACGCGAAAGCGUGGGGAGCAAACAGGAUUAGAUACCCUGGUAGUCCACGCCGUAAACGAUGAGAACUAGGUGUGGUGGGAGUUGACCCCCGCGGUGCCGUAGCUAACGCAUUAAGUUCUCCGCCUGG
rnacentral:rRNA from 1 species